AGUCGAACGCGUCUCCGUUGAUGAUUUUAGGUGCUUGCACUUGAACCUUUAACAUUGAGACGAGUGGCGAACUGGUGAGUAACACGUGGGUAACCUGCCCUUGAAGUAGGGGAUAACACUUGGGAACAGGUGCUAAUACCGUAUAACAACCAAAACCACCUGGUUUUGGUUUAAAAGACGGCUUCGGCUGUCACUUUAGGAUGGACCCGCGGCGCAUUAGCUUGUUGGUAAGGUAACGGCUUACCAAGGCGAUGAUACGUAGCCGACCUGAGAGGGUAAUCGGCCACAUUGGGACUGAGACACGGCCCAAACUCCUACGGGAGGCAGCAGUAGGGAAUCUUCCACAAUGGACGAAAGUCUGAUGGAGCAACGCCGCGUGAGUGAUGAAGGGUUUCGGCUCGUAAAACUCUGUUGUUGGAGAAGAACAGGUGUCAGAGUAACUGUUGACAUCUUGACGGUAUCCAACCAGAAAGCCACGGCUAACUACGUGCCAGCAGCCGCGGUAAUACGUAGGUGGCAAGCGUUGUCCGGAUUUAUUGGGCGUAAAGCGAGCGCAGGCGGUUUUUUAGGUCUGAUGUGAAAGCCUUCGGCUUAACCGGAGAAGUGCAUCGGAAACCGGGAGACUUGAGUGCAGAAGAGGACAGUGGAACUCCAUGUGUAGCGGUGAAAUGCGUAGAUAUAUGGAAGAACACCAGUGGCGAAGGCGGCUGUCUGGUCUGUAACUGACGCUGAGGCUCGAAAGCAUGGGUAGCGAACAGGAUUAGAUACCCUGGUAGUCCAUGCCGUANACGAUGAGUGCUAAGUGUUGGAGGGUUUCCGCCCUUCAGUGCUGCAGCUAACGCAUUAAGCAC
rnacentral:rRNA from 1 species